UUUUUUUUUCAUCAUCAGCC
rnacentral:sRNA from 1 species